CACGCCCUGCGGUGUACGUGACCCCUUGAAGUUUUGAGCCAACAUUUGUUGUAUGGGAGUCUGGCUCUGGCUGUGAAAUGUAUACCUCAAAAGGAAAGGGACGCACCUUCUUCGGAGGAAUGUCUCCAACCAUGAGGAAACAGGAAGCACUCAGGAGGACACCCACCUGUUUGAGAACAGGUUCAAGAAAACUUUGAGGCUACCCUCACGGCACAGUGGGGUCAUA
rnacentral:other from 1 species